rnacentral:rRNA from 1 species
AUUGAACGCUGGCGGCAUGCCUUACACAUGCAAGUCGAACGGCAGCACGGGAGCAAUCCUGGUGGCGAGUGGCGAACGGGUGAGUAAUAUAUCGGAACGUGCCCGGUCGUGGGGAUAACGUAGCGAAAGCUACGCUAAUACCGCAUACGAUCUACGGAUGAAAGCGGGGGAUCGCAAGACCUCGCGCGAUUGGAGCGGCCGAUAUCAGAUUAGGUAGUUGGUGAGGUAAAGGCUCACCAAGCCGACGAUCUGUAGCUGGUCUGAGAGGACGACCAGCCACACUGGGACUGAGACACGGCCCAGACUCCUACGGGAGGCAGCAGUGGGGAAUAUUGGACAAUGGGCGGAAAGGACCUGAUCCAGCCAUGCCGCGUGUGUG